ACAGCAUGAGAUGCACCAAAACUGGCACGGCAGGGGCUGCAGUGGCCUGCAUAAGUAAGGGGUAGGCAGCAAGGCAGGGGCCCCACCAGCCAGGACCCAGCCUCAAGACAGCACCCGAUCCAACAGAGAUCAUAGAUGAUCAGGCAUGUCAUGGUGAAGAGGCAGGUCCGAGGGAAAGCUGGGCUGUCAGUCCACAGGUUGGGAUCAGGCCCAGUGAGAGUAACCAGGGUUAAACACAGCCCGCUGAUACCAGACCCGUCUGCAGUGGUGCAACAGGUCCAAGGUUGAGCUGGGAAGCCAGUCAGUCAGUCUGUGAGUCAGCCUGGUCCAUAACGAGGCACAGGCGUGGCUGGAGCUGCCCCAAACAUCAGAACUCAGCACAGGUCAGGCACUGAAAGCCUGGGGCUGAGCUGAACUGGAGCUCCUGUGUCCACAGGUGUGGGAAGGGGCCCUCAGUGAGAUGGGUCAGGACCAUUAAAGUUUAUUAAGUGCACCCUGGGCCCUGAGAGAUUUCAGAGAAAACCAUAGUCCUGGGAUGGUUUUUGCUACUGUAGCUGCUUCAGCUAUCCUAUCUCAAGAAGAAGCAUAGAUUCCCUUGCUUACUUGCAAGCAGAAAUAAUAAUAAUAAAAAAAUAGAUAAUGAGGGGACAGCAGCCUCCAUUCCCAUGGAAUUGGGAUUAAACAAACAGGAAGGAACAGACCUUACUAAUUAACUCCUGAGGAAAAAAGAAUAGCAGACAGUAAUGGAAAGCAGGGCUCAGGAUACCUUGAAAGGUCAUCAAGAAGACUUUUGAUAUCCUUGGCCCAAAGAAUCAACUUAAGCUAUUGCUCGCAGAUAUCUGCUUUACCUGUUCUUGAACAUGGUGAGGACUUCAGAACUUCCUCAGAACCUGUCCAGUUGGUCAGAAUUCUUCCCCAGCUGUGGUGCCCCAAGCCAGAGAGAAACCUUUUCAAGCCUUCAGAAGAAUAAGAGCCACUUUGUAUGCCUUACAAAUAGCCCUCCUUUCUACAAACUCCAAUACAGGGAUUACAUCUUCAGUAAAGGUAUGCUGCUGUCUCAUGUUCACCUUGGGAACUACUUAUCGUCUCCAGCACAGAACUGUUGCUUAGUCAGUCCUUCCCCAUUUGCACUUAUGCAAAAGAUGACUUCUAUAAAAACACAGAAGUUAGUAUUCAUCUUUGUCGUUACAUGUCAUUCUUUGAGUCAAAUUCUUAAAAUAACUUCUUAAGAUCCUAAUCCUAUCUUGUAGUAUUUUUCCAGGUAGUAUCAUUAGCAUGAAAUGCUAAUCCAGUCUUCUAAAUCAUGAAUUAAAUAUUGUAUAGUCCCUGGAGAAUGUGCUUUAAUUCACCCAGUCUGACAAUGAAGCAUAAUUAACAGUUUCUUGAGAACAGCUUUCCAACCAGUUAUACAUCCAUCUAAUACAAAUUUAAUCUAGUCUACAUUUCCCUAUCACAAAUGACUCACAUGAAGCAAAGAAGAUGAACGUGGAAUCAGACAUCCCUGAAGGACUUGUCUGGCCACAAGAGUGAUAGUCACCUGCACAAAACUUCAGCUGAAGGCAGGCUCCUGCUAGAAGGGCUCCAGGAAAGGGAUGGCAUUGCAGAGCAGCAGAGAAGCAAUCUGCAAAGGAAGGUUUUGACACACGGCAUAUCUGAGAGGAGGUAGUGGUGAUGUGCAACCACAGCUGGUUGAAAUGGAUUAGCUUAUCCUUGAGCAGAUGGAUAGGAGAAGAUAAAAGAAGAAUGUGACAAAUUGUUACACUAUCAGCAAUGUCACCGUCAUCCUAAAUGCACAGCUGACUGCAUCCAGCAUCCGCUGGGAAAGGUCACAGGUAUGAGCAGGUCCUGUGCAGCUUCACCAUGAAAUCCACCCCUGAGGUGGUGGGCAGGAGACUGGUAAAACUCAUCAGCUCGAGGAGUUACCACAGCGACUGACAGCUGGAACAAACGACGUGAUGCUAAAGGACUCUGAAGAAAAGGUCUUUUUCCAAGUCUAUGUAAAUGUUUGAGACUCUUGCACCACACAGAUGAAAGCUGUUUUGUCCUUUCAGAUACAGCUGUGGUGAUUGCAGAGGAGGAAACCACAUGAAAAGAAAAGUAAUCUGGCCUUCUGGCAUGCAUUUGAUAUUUUCUGUCUAUUUUUGGAGCUUGGAGAACAGGAAGCGGGAAUAUUUAGUGACACGUUGACUAGACUGAAGAUGGCUUAAUUUCUGAGUAGAGCCAUCUUUACCAAUAUGAACUGUGAAGUAUGUCCAGAAAUCUAAUAAUGGCUCUAAUAUAUCUGACAGUCAGACACACAGAGAAGAGUCAUUUUUUAAAAUAUGUCCUGGAAAUGCUUCUCUUAGCCCAAAGAAAGAAGGGGCAGUGGCUCAGCUCUCAAAGAAAUUGAAAAACUUUUCUACUCAGCCAUUACAAAAGAAUCAGUAGCUCUCAUCGCUGAUGGCUCAGAGGAAUGGUCAAUAACAAAGGGAACAAUGUCAGCUAACAAGACCAAGCAGAGUAAUGCGAUCAUGUAUACCUCCUGCCUGACAGUACCCUGUUCCCAGUGGGAGAACAUUUUUCACAAAAGAACUUUGACCUCUCAGCCCACAACCUCAAAGCGACCACAAAAUACCUUCAACAGCUGAGCCUGGGAACAAAAAUUCAGAACUGCUGUAUGCACUAGAAAUCAUGGACUCGAUAAAAUACUGGGUUUAUGGCACGUUAUCAUCUUCCACGGCAGCUGACCUCCAACUCAUUUAUCAGUGUUCCACAGCUGUUAAUUUGCUCUCUUAUUUUAGCUCGGAGAAAUUCUUAACAUUUUUAUCUGCCUCUUUGGUCAUAGGGCAGGUGAUCAUGUAGGACAAUCACCAUUUUCUCCUGUACUGACUGUCUUAACUGAUUACCACAUUAGUUCAAAAUUAAGAAUUACUCCCAGUCUUGGCUUGAAGUCUGCCAGUUCUGUUCUGACGAACAGAAGGAUCUGCAUGCUUGAAAUUUUGUUUCUUCCACAUAUCUCCACUGGCCUAAUAUUAAUUCCCAGUUGUUAAUUCUACCUUCAAACCUGCCUCAGUUACAUCCUACAGUAUGCCAGCACUUUACAACAGGCUCCCAGUGCGUUGUUUUGUCAGAUGGUCUCCAGAGGGCCCUUCCAGCCUCAACCAUUCUGUGAUUCUGUGACUUCAAAAUAGUCAGUAGCUCAAAAGAGCAACUGUGGCCCCAUUGAAGAAAUUGGUGUGUGGCACCCUUCAGUCUGAAUUACCCAAGAGUUCAGACAAAAAUGUAAUGGUGCUUUUGGAUCUUAACAACUAGGUAUCUCUAAACAAAGCUGUUUUAGGCCAAAUAAGUGUAGGGCAAGGGAAAAAAAAAAAUGGAAGAAAGGAAAAGUACCCUACCAUGGCAGGAUUUGCAGAAUUAUUAAGGUAGUAGUUCAAAAGGACAGAUUUACCUAUGUUUUGUAAAGAUCACAGAAGGUAAUCAGGUAGCAAGCUUAAAAGAAAGAUAAAGAACUUUUAUACAUGCAUCUCAAACAUGAAACUCUUUGCUGCAGGAUCUUGUAGGACUAUCAGCUGCAUAACUGGAAUUGCAAAGAGAUAAGACAGAUAUGGAUAGUAAUUUUAGCACUGGACCUAUUCAAAAUGAUAGCCCAGAUUUAACUUUGAUUCAGGAAGUCUACAUACUAGUUAUGUUUCAUAUAUCCUUCCCCUACUAUGAUUCCAGUUGGCUGCUGCUGAGGAUGUGACACAAGCCUAGACAGACCUUUCAUCUUGUAUAGCAUGGCAGUAAUGGAAUGGUGGUCUUAUGAGGGGAGAAAAUACAUGGAAAUUGCAACUGGUGGAAAUACUUUUCCCCGUAAGUCCCCACUGGUGUCCUGAGUUCCUUCCUCUCUCCUUUUUGCUCAGAACUAUGCU